UACGGGGGGAGCAAGCGUUGUUCGGAUUUACUGGGCGUAAAGGGCGCGUAGGCGGCCACCGCAAGUCGAUUGUGAAAUCCCCAGGCUUAACCUGGGAACUGCAUUCGAGACUGCAUUGCUAGAGUAUGGGAGAGGGAAGUGGAAUUUCCGGUGUAGCGGUGAAAUGCGUAGAUAUCGGAAGGAACAUCAGUGGCGAAAGCGACUUCCUGGACCAAUACUGACGCUCAUGUGCGAAAGCGUGGGGAGCAAACAGG
rnacentral:rRNA from 1 species